AAGUCGAACGGAAAGGCUCCUUGCUUGCAAGGGGUACUCGAGUGGCGAACGGGUGAGUAACACGUGGGUGAUCUGCCUUGCACUUCGGGAUAAGCCUGGGAAACUGGGUCUAAUACCGGAUAGGACCAUGCUUUAGUGUGUGUGGUGGAAAGUUUUUUCGGUGCAAGAUGAGCCCGCGGCCUAUCAGCUUGUUGGUGGGGUAAUGGCCUACCAAGGCGACGACGGGUAGCCGGCCUGAGAGGGUGUACGGCCACAUUGGGACUGAGACACGGCCCAGACUCCUACGGGAGGCAGCAGUGGGGAAUAUUGCACAAUGGGCGCAAGCCUGAUGCAGCGACGCCGCGUGGGGGAUGAAGGCCUUCGGGUUGUAAACUCCUUUCGCUAGGGAAGAAGCCGCUUGUGGUGACGGUACCUGGAUAAGAAGCACCGGCUAACUACGUGCCAGCAGCCGCGGUAAUACGUAGGGUGCGAGCGUUGUCCGGAAUUACUGGGCGUAAAGAGCUCGUAGGUGGUUUGUCGCGUCGUCUGUGAAAUCCCGGGGCUUAACUUCGGGCGUGCAGGCGAUACGGGCAUAACUAGAGUGCUGUAGGGGAGACUGGAAUUCCUGGUGUAGCGGUGAAAUGCGCAGAUAUCAGGAGGAACACCGAUGGCGAAGGCAGGUCUCUGGGCAGUUACUGACGCUGAGGAGCGAA
rnacentral:rRNA from 1 species